CCUACGGGAGGCAGCAGUGGGGAAUAUUGCUCAAUGGGGGAAACUCUGAAGCAGCAACGCCGCGUGGAGGAUGAAGGCUUUCUGGGUUUAAAGCCCUUUUUAUAGGGAAGUAAAAUACGGUACCUGACGAAUAAUCACCGGCUAACUUCGUGCCAGCAGCCGCGGUAAUACGGAGGCUGCAAGCGUUAUACGGAUUUACUGGGCGUAAAGGGGGCGUAGGCGGGUUAGCAAGUCAGGUGUGAAAGCCUGAGGCUCAACCAUAGAAUUGCAGUUGAAACUGUUAGUCUGGAGUAUAGGAGAGGUAGGCGGAAUUCGUGGUGUAGCGGUGAAAUGCGUAGAUAUCACGAAGAACACCGAUUGCGAAGGCAGCUUACUGGACUGUAACUGACGCUGAGGCGCGAAAGCGUGGGGAGCAAACAGGAUUAGAUACCCGGGUAGUC
rnacentral:rRNA from 1 species